AAUCCCAAAAUUCUGAAAAAUACCCUGUACUAUUGGAUGGUCUUAUUAAUUAGUGUCCCUCCCUCCCUCUCUCCUACAGAUUGCUAAGAUAAGAAGUGGUAAUGGUUUUGUUGCUAUGAAGGACUCAUACAAACCAUACAGACACUUGGAAUUCCUCACAUAUUCUAAUAUUAGGUCAGUCAUUGAUUUCACUGAUAGUGAAAGUACAUUUAUUUAUUCAUUUAUUUAUUUAUUUUAUUAGAUGUUGUUAAUGGUUUUUGUCUGUUAGUCCAUUGGUCUGAUGAUCCUCAGGAGAGAUUAUUAACUUUUAAAA